UGCAGGAGCCACCCAGAGGUUAUUAUGC
rnacentral:piRNA from 1 species